rnacentral:tRNA from 2 species
GCUCCCGUCGUCUAGUGGUUAGGACACCAGCCUUUCACGUUGGGUACACGGGUUCGAAUCCCGUCGGGAGCGCCA